AACGAGCGCUGGCGGCAUGCCUAACACAUGCAAGUCGAACGAGACCUUCGGGUCUAGUGGCGCACGGGUGCGUAACGCGUGGGAACCUGCCCUUAGGUUCGGAAUAACUCCCCGAAAGGGGUGCUAAUACCGGAUAAUGUCUUCGGACCAAGGAUUUAUCGCCUUUGGAUGGGCCCGCGUUGGAUUAGCUAGUUGGUAGGGUAAAAGCCUACCAAGGCGACGAUCCAUAGCUGGUCUGAGAGGAUGAUCAGCCACACUGGGACUGAGACACGGCCCAGACUCCUACGGGAGGCAGCAGUGGGGAAUAUUGGACAAUGGGCGAAAGCCUGAUCCAGCAAUGCCGCGUGAGUGAUGAAGGCCUUAGGGUUGUAAAGCUCUUUUACCCGGGAUGAUAAUGACAGUACCGGGAGAAUAAGCUCCGGCUAACUCCGUG
rnacentral:rRNA from 1 species